UACAGAGGGGGCAAGCGUUGUUCGGAAUUACUGGGCGUAAAGGGCGCGUAGGCGCCUUCUAAGUCGAACGUGAAAUCCCCGGGCUCAACCCGGGAACUGCGUCCGAUACUGGAAGGCUUGAAUCCGGGAGAGGGAUGCGGAAUUCCAGGUGUAGCGGUGAAAUGCGUAGAUAUCUGGAGGAACACCGGUGGCGAAGGCGGCAUCCUGGACCGGCAUUGACGCUGAGGCGCGAAAGCCAGGGGAGCAAAGCGGGAU
rnacentral:rRNA from 1 species